rnacentral:rRNA from 1 species
GUGGGGAAUAUUGGACAAUGGGGGGAACCCUGAUCCAGCCAUGCCGCGUGUGUGAAGAAGGCCUUUUGGUUGUAAAGCACUUUAAGCGAGGAGGAGGCUACCGAGAUUAAUACUCUUGGAUAGUGGACGUUACUCGCAGAAUAAGCACCGGCUAACUCUGUGCCAGCAGCCGCGGUAAUACAGAGGGUGCAAGCGUUAAUCGGAUUUACUGGGCGUAAAGCGCGCGUAGGUGGCCAAUUAAGUCAAAUGUGAAAUCCCCGAGCUUAACUUGGGAAUUGCAUUCGAUACUGGUUGGCUAGAGUAUAGGAGAGGAUGGUAGAAUUCCAGGUGUAGCGGUGAAAUGCGUAGAGAUCUGGAGGAAUACCGAUGGCGAAGGCAGCCAUCUGGCCUAAUACUGACACUGAGGUGCGAAAGCAUGGGGAGCAAACAGGAUUAGAAACCCGUGUAGUCC